AACAAUCACAUAAAUCAUGCAAAGGAGGGCUGAACAGGGCACUUUCGGCGGCAGGUUCGGCGGCCGAAAGGCCCUCCAGAGCCGAAAGUCAUGCACCUUCGGCGGCACUUUCGGCGGCCGAAGGUUCCCUCCAGAGACGAAACUCAUGCAUGUUCGACGGCACCUUCGGUGGCCGAAAGUCCCUUCCAGAGCCGAAAGUCAUAUUUCGGGGGCAGGGUUC
rnacentral:lncRNA from 1 species